GGGUUACUAACAGAAAUCAUGGCAUAGGUGUGUGCAUUUUUGGCGAGAAGCCAUGAAGGUCCAAAAGUACUUGAAGAGGAGGAGGACAACGCGGCCCGGCUCAGGCGGCCCAAAGUAAAAGAGCGGUCAGCUCCUCGGCUCAGUUCAGACUGCGAACGAGAGUUCACAUAUAUUGACUCAAGGCACAGGGUGAAGAAGAGAGAAACGAGUCGGGUGAUCGGACCUGGUUCGACUCACAUUUGCCGAUUUCAAUCCGAGAUAUCUCCGUCGACACACACUCUCCGCGCAGCGAUGAGCGGGCACGACUCCAAGUACUUCUCCACCACCAAGACGGGAGAGAUGCCUGAACUCAAAGAAGAGCUCAAUUCUCAGUACAAGAAUCAUGAACUAUUGCUGCCCCCAAGGCAUUGGUGCGAUGGAUAAGCACCGACAUUCUAGUAGGGGUAUCAUGUGUUCGAUUCCAAUUGAUGCCCUUCUUGAAGGUGUUCCCAGUUAAUUCUCUAGAGGUUUUCCUAGUCUCGGAUUUGACGAAAGACUAACCGGUGCUGAAAACCGUAGCAGCGUCCAAUUAACCCAUGGGGGAAGGCCGCCAACCCGUCGAUUUGGUGCUGCAUCAAGGGGUCCAAAGAGUGGCUCGUUGAUGGCUGGAGUUCUCACGAUAAUCCCAAAAAACAAAUGAACUAUUGCCACAAUGAGGUGCCAAUGCGUGGGAUGCAAAUGCGUGGGAUGCAAGCCCCGGGGGAAAGAUGUGCAAAGAAGACACAGAUGACGAAGAAGACAACUAGUGGAAGACGUGAUUUGUGUUAGUAAUAUCUUGGUCAUGUAAGAUUGUAUCGCCUUAAUUUUUAAAAAUAGGGAUAAUUGUGUUCUUGAGGCAGAAUUGUAUGUCUUCUCUUAAAAAAUAAAGAUGAUUUUGUCUUUAAAA